UUGUCCUCCCCAGGAUCAUUCGCUUCGUCUUCUAGAGUUUGCCCUAACUGGGUUUGUGUUCAAUCUGUUCGAUCGCGCAGAAGUUAGUGCUGUUUGUCGAAUUUACAUGGUUGGAGUGCUGCUGUGGUGCGAUAUUUACGAUAUCUAUUGCUUCUCCCAGAGUGGGUGUUUGAUACCUUUUGUGUUGAGCACAUGCAACCAUGUUUCAUUAGUGGAGAUGCGCUUCGUAUCGGUUUGAGGUGAAACCGAUGGCGAUGCCUCUUAUCUGUAAAUGCUAUGUCAUUGCUGUUUUCGUGCAGUAGGAAGAACGAUUCAAUAGUCUGCAAGGAUCCGUGUAAUCGUCAGUGAGUGUUGUAACUUUGGCUGUUAUAGUUUUGUUUUGAUGGCUCUGUCGAUAGGGGGUGUGCUGUGAUGAUUAUGCAAACUUUCUGACACCUCUUGUAUGAGAGCAUCUACAGUGCUCGCUGAACGGGGAUGCGUCUUUCUGAGCACAUUGCUUGUAUAUUUCUUGGUUUUAAUGCUGGAUUCUCUGUCCCUUUUUGGGAGUCCCGAAAACGCAACUGUGACUCUCUUACGCUCGUUGUCACUUUUUAAUGUGCUCUCCGUCUGGGGAAAGAUGUAACAACUCGGGUCUUAGGCCUCUAUCUCAGGUUAUAAGUAUCUUUUUUUGUUUUUUUGUUUUUUGUUUUUUUGUAGUGACUUAGUCGUAUUCACUAGCCCUAAAACUGGGAUCUGGUUUUAAAGCAGAUGGAAGUACUGUCCCCAACUUGAUGAUUGUUUCUGCGAGCUCGAAAUUCGAAACUCUGAUUCGAAUAGAUGCCUGAGGUCGAAAAGUGUACACUCUUCACCACACAAGAAGGAAAAAUAAACGAAAUGUAUUGGAAUGAUUGCAGAAGGAAUGUACGCGAAGUUUGGAACGAGUCGGAUCUACUUUGGCAUGAAUAAAUUUCUGAGACGAAAUGACCUUAUGUGUAUUUGUGUAAGCAUGACACUCUACAGUAGAGUCUCAAGAUUGUGGGUGAGAAUGUUAGUAAUGAAUCAACAACUUCAACAACCUGACGAGUCUGCUUUCAACAGUACAACCAUCUUUUAUUCAUUUUAUGUUAUUUGAUGGCGGAACUGACAAAUAACGUUGAAGUAGCAUUGCCAAAACUGACAUUCAAAUGUUCAUCGGCGAAGACCCUUCUGCCUCCACGAAAUCAUUUGUGAGAUUUUCGAUGUCUGUGCAUACAAGAGAGUUGAACUACUGCCAAGGACUGUGGAACGUGGCACCAUGAUAAUUCAAAGUUCUGUGACACCACUGCUAGAGACUGUGAAAUGCGCUUUAGAAUCAUGCAGUUAUUUUUGCACAUUUAUACAUGAACUGUAGAACAAUACAUACGUCUAACAAAAUUUUCUUUCUUAAAAUCUGAAUUUCAUAUUAUAGUACGAGUGUAACAAUGUUUUGUUUUGUUUUCUCUGUGAGGUUUACAUUUCAUAAAUACAGAAUGUUUUGCUACCUA